CUCUCUCUUGCUCUCUAUGUUCAGAAGCUUCAGAGUUUUACUGGUGGUUGAUGCUGAGGCCAUGUUGUUCGUAAGCUUCAACAGUGAGGUAAUGGAUACUCUUACGUUCAAGUAAUAUGAAGUUGCUGAGCAAUACAAAGGGAAUGAUAUUAGUUUCUUAUCGGUAAUAUUGAAGCCAAUCAGAAUCUCUUAAGUUAGGUUUCUUAUCUGUUGUGCUUGGUUAAUUUCUCAUUUAUGUACAUCAAUAGGGUGAUGAUAUAUUUGACUUCAUUUAGCAGUUCUUUGGACUUGAAGAUCAGAUACUACUACCCAUCAUAAGGACAUAUGAUGGAUAGAAAUAUCUCAACCCAAUAUCGAGCUUGAUGAUAUUACAUUAUGGGUUAAGGGGUUUAGGUGAUGACGCUCUCUGCUUUUUCUUGUGUAUUAUAUAGAACCGCUAUAAUUUUUGUCAUGUUUUCGAUAUGGCUGCUGCUUGUCAAUAAUUCUCAAGCAGAGAGUAUAUUGGAGUUUUUAGCUAUUUACUUAUACAUGACUUUUAUCUUGCAACUGAACAGCUGCGUAUCACACCACUUUCAGUUUGUGCUACAUUUCAUCGCCUUCUAUUUUGAGUAGUUUUCUCUUGUAGCUCUGUCAUCACUCUUUUCUCUAGAAACUGCUGAUUUUAUUCAUCUAUUAUAUAUUAUUUAGUGUCAAGCCACGAUUCAUUUCACAUAUGCGGGGACGCUUCAAUUAUUGAGUUUUAAUUUAGGUUGGUAUAUACUUAUGUCUUUGAUUAUAUCAGCAGCUUCGAUGUCAGAGUUCGAGAGCCAACAAUGGAGUUUUUGAUAACUAGAAGGGUUCUGAAAGAAGAGGAAUGAUGGCGAUAUUUUGAUGUUAUAAGUUCGUUAAAGCCUGUAAGCAUUUCAUUGCGUUGAUUUUAGCAGUUAUAUAACUUUUGGUAUAAUAGUUCUCUAAGAAGAUAACUAUCUCCUUUUGGUGUAAUGCUAUUGUGGUUGAAUUAGCUUGUGACUUUCUAUUGGAGUUGGCUUCUGUUAACAAAAUUCAGAUUCUGACAUAAUCACGGGUAUCAUAGCUUCUUCGCUGCUCUCUUUGUUUCUCAAAAUCCUCAAUUACUGCUUUUUCUUUGCCAUACUUGGUAGUUUACGAAUUUCGAUCUUUGGGAGGAUUGGCUUAUAUAUUUUUCUCUUACUUAAGAAUACUCAAUUCCCUAAAUGAUCUUGUGUCUUUCUCUUUAAUGAAAGAGAACGCAUAAUAGGGAGAGGAAGAAGAGAAGUAGCACUUGAAACAAUAAAAAUAAGGUCAUAAGUAAUAGUAACUUCUAUUGCAUAUAGCUAUUUUGUUUAUGACCGUUUCCAGUAAUGCUUAAAAACUGGUUUAAUUUUAUGGAAUUCUUGAUUUCGUCAGCUGCAUUUAAGUUUAUUUCCUUCAGAAAUGAAAAAGGAAGUUAAUGUUUGGCACAUUGAAGUCCGAAUAGUAUGUGCAUCUGAAUAAGCUGGAAUGGAGUCUUAGUUUAUUGAAACUGUAGCUCCAAAAACCGAUACGAAAAGGGGAAGUUCUCUAGCUGAGCAUAUUUAGCUCUAUUGGUUCUUGGAUGUGCAGUCUAGAUCCUGAGGCAAGUCUGAUGACCAUUAUUGUUUAACAUCCAUGGGUUAUUAUUCCUUUUUGAAAAGAAACUGACACAAAUAAAGACUGCUAUUAGAUGAUAUGUUAUCCAAAAGCUUGAUUGAAAAAACAACCUCUUGUGCUUUUCGCUGAGCACUAUGCCAGGAGUAGAAUCCUCUCUCUCAAAGUCAAAAUAUUUUUCUUACUUUCUAUUUGGUUUCUCUUUUGAAACAAAAAUCAAAAUCGUGUAGAAAUCUCUCUGGUAAAUAAGUGAUCUAUCUCUUGUAGGUGGACAAAAAUGUACCUUUAAUCUAAUAAUGGUUCAUUCACUUUGAUGAUCAACCAUUUCACGAUUGUCAUGUUCAAUUCUCUUUUAUAUGUAACUAUAAAUCCAACCUCUUUUCCCAGGAGUCAAUGUAUGUGCAACCAUUUUGCAGCUUCACGAUGACAAAAGCGAGUAGAAAGAGACGCACACCAUAUCGCGAAGGGCAAUUACUUACCUAUAGACUAUAUUAGGUAAGAUAUUACAUUACAAUGGUUAGCCAUAUGUGCAUUUUAGCUGCCAAUAAAUUCUUAGUUUGUCAUAUGUGCAUUUUAGCUGCCACUAAAUUCUUAGUUUUCUUUUGAGCCAUUUUUUAAAUGAUACGUCAUAAACUAAAUUUGCAUUAUCCUGUUUCUUAAACUCAAUAUUUAAGAUUUACUAUCUUAAAUUACUUAAUAUCUUAAUAUCUUUUGUACUAAUCAUGUUAUUUAUGAAAAUUCGCAUAAAAAGAAACUUGAUGCAAUCCAACUCAUCUAGAUUAGGUGGCUUACAUAAAUCUAUGUGAUUGCGAUAAUAAAAGCGUUCUGUUAGUAUUUUUUAGACAACGAUAAAUGUACUUGGAGUUGUCAGUUGUUUUAAUAAACCACAUCUUUUCCUUGAAGUCAUUCACAUGCAAAUUGUAGAAACUUGGUGAAAAGAUUUAGCAUGCUAAUUCUGAAGUCCUUUAUGCCUAUUUUACACUUUCUGUUUCAGUAAUUGUUAUAGUUGACGAUUUAGGUACGCUAUUUAAUGGAGACUGUGAUGUUUGUGAAAGUAUUCUUUAGCUUUGAGAUAAUGGCUGAAAGAGUGGCAAAGGUCUGGUUAGUUGGAUGGUUUACUCUGCAAAGAACGUAUUAGUGUUCAUUUAAAAGAAAUUUAAAAUUAAUGCAACCUUUAUCUUGAUCGGAACUUAAAACUGAUAACAUGUAAACUUCUGACACAGUGAGACUUUGUUGUUUGAUUAAUGUCGUCGAUAUAACUUAGUGAGAAUUACUUGUCAUCUAUUACCAUUAUGUGAUUUGCUUGGGCUGUAGCUCUUUUCGAUUGAACCAACUUUUCUUCCUUUGUAUUCUUAGACUUGCUUAUAAUUUGAUUUUAUUUAGUGUUUUGUUUAAUCCUUGUGAUCAUCUUUUAGAGUGUUUUGUUUAAUCCUUGUGAUCAUCUUCAUGGAAAGCUGAAGGACACUGAAUGAUAUAAGUUCCAAACAUUCAAACGUUAAUAAUUGAAAAUGUUCACAUACAACAUAAUAAUAUUAAUUCUUAGAAUUUUGUUGAACCAUUUAUAUUUGAAAUGUUGGUUGGUUCUCUGUUGAUGCUGUUGAAGUAGUGUUUACAGCACUGUGGGUUAAUCUUGACACGCUGGUUCACUUUUCUUCUAGACUGAGUGAAAUCUCUGUGUCUGCUUCUCCCGUCUAUUAAAGCUUAAAGGUUGAAUCACAUGUAGUCUUCUUAUGUCACUCUGUCAACCUAGAUUGAUAUUCAGCUUAGAUGUUAAUAUUGACAUUGGAAACUAAUGUUGAGCUGCAAAAUAAUCUCAGCCUCUCCAUAAUUGCUAGAAAAUUCCUUAAAAAUUAGAUUCAUUUUUGGGAACUUUCUUGCAGUUUUCUAUGCAAUAUCUGGUUCUGAACUGUCAUGACCCAACCCGCCAUGACCGGCACCCACACUAACUCCUAGUGGGCGAACCAAUACGCUUAACCAUCUACUCAUUCAAAGUCCAUUUUACUUGGUCAAUUCAUUCCGUUCACAAUAAAUUAAACGCAAAAUUAAGUCAAAAGUGGUCAUGCCAUAAAACAAUAAUGUAAAUGCAGAAUUUCUAACUAUUACAACCCCAAAAUCCGAAAGUCACCGUGCAAAGACUCUAAUCCAAACAUGUCUAAGGAAUCCAUAUUGUCUGAAAUAAAUAAAUAUCAAUGUCUGGAAUAGAAAUAGACAUUAAAUAAAGGAAGAUCUUCGGGCGGCCUGGCACGGAUAGAAGCUCACCCUCAAUUUGUCAGCAAAUGACCUCAAGCUAGAUAUGAGGUCGAGUAGCAGUCUCUAGAUCACAAUGUGCACUAAAAAAGAAUGCAGCAAGGCAGUAUCAGUACAAACACUAUAUACCAGUAGAUAUCAUAGGCCGACUAAGAUUAGUAUCACGCAUGAAUCAUAAAAUCAAUAAAAUAGACAGACGAGUCAACAACACAUAAUUAGAUAGCCAACACCAAGUCAACCAAUGAUACUAACAAAUCAAGUCCACCACUGAUACUAACAAUCAAGUCCACCAAUGAUAUUCACAAUCAAGUCAACGAAAGCAAGCAAUGGAAUAAACCUCACAACAACAUUCUCACUUAAUCAGUCACUGAUCUGUCACGAUCCAACCCGCCAUGACUGGCACCCACACUAACUCUGAGUGGGCGAAACAAUACGCCUAACCAUCUACUCAUUCAAGUCUAUUUUUAUUUAACCAAUUCAUAACAAUUGAACACAAGAAUAAUCAAUAAAUAGUCAUGCCAUAUAAUAAUAACGUAAAUGCGGAAGUACUAACUAUUACAACCCCCAAAUCCGAAAGUCACCGUACAAGAACUCUAAUCCAAAACAUGUCUAAGGAAUUCAUACUGUCUGAAAUAAAUAAACAUCAAUGUCCGGAAUGGAUAAAGAAGAUAUUCGGGCGGUCUGACAUGGAUAGAAGUUCACCCUCAAUCUGUCAGCAAAUGGCCUUUACGCUAAAUAUGAGGUCAGGUAGCAGUAUCUGGAUCACAGUCUGCACUCAAAGAAUGCAGCAAGGUAGUAUCAGUACAAACACUAUGUACCGGUAGAUAUCAUAGGCCGACUAAGAUUAGUAUCAUGCAUGAAUCACCAAAUCAAUAAAAUAGAUAGACCAAUCAACAACACAUAAUCAAAUAGCCUAACAACAAGUCAACCAAUGAUGUUAACAAUCAAGUCACCCUAUGAUAUCAAAAAUCAAGUUAACGGAAGCAAACAAUAGAAAUAAGUCUACCAACAACAUUCCCAAUACUCAGUCACUGACCACUUGUGUACAUACAUGCUAAUUGGUGUCAUUUCCCAAUAGUCAUAACCCGCAGAGGACUCAUGAUGUCCAUGUACCACUCGUUCCGGAACGAACCUCGGACCACAAGCUCGCACAACUAGGCUACAUCCUCACCCCCGAUCAAAUGUGCCUGUUCAUAUCUAGGUCUCGUUCUCACCCCUGGUCAAAUGAGUCUUUCCAUACAUAUAUAUAUAUUUCUUGUCACAUCACUUUCAACAAUCGAUUAACAAUUUGUAUCUCAAUUUCAUCAAGAAGAUCAUAUUAACUUCUCACCACAAUUAUCAUCAAACGAUAGGUCACAACACAACGAAUAGUGGCACUAAGCCCACAUAAUCACCCAAUCAAUAGCAUAUAGGAAUUCAACCACACACAUUAUGCCUGAAGACUAGACAUGCUUUCUCCUAUAAAUUUCACAAUACAUACAAUCAACUAAUUAAAGUCUAACUCAAGUAGACCGUAACCUACCUCAACUGUAGAGCUGGAACAAUGUGAAUCACUCCGCUAUAGCUUUUCACUUCCGUAAAGCCUCGGAAUGCUCAAAGUCUAGCAAUUAAGAUGCUGAAUAAGUCACAAACAUUCUAGUCAACAAUAUCAAUACAAUGCACACCCUUCCACCUUACCCCUUUCUAAUGGUUGAAUGAUUACUAGGCGUAAAUCAUCCUAACCCUAGUCUUAGCAACCACAAACUCUCAAUUUAUACGGUUAUUCAAUCAAGUUAUCUCUUAUAAGCAGUUUCUAUGGUCAAACUACCAUUUUUAUGAAACCCUAGGUCUCAAUUCACUUGGUUCAUGCCGCUAAAGGUUCAAUUCUUAUUUAGAAAGUGAUAACCCAAGCCUUUAGAUAAUAAUCCCACAACAACAAUCAUAACCCCUCAACUAUUGAAAGUCUAUUAAGUUCUAGGGUUACUAUUCCCAAUUCACCAUUGUAGACCCAUUAGAAGGAUGAUAAUCUUAGAGAUGAAUGCGUAAUGAAGGAAGGAAUGGUUGAGACUUACCUCUCAAGAAUACUCUUGCCUUAGCUUAGAAUUUCGUCCUAGGUGCUCAUUGGAAACUGUUUUGGAGUUUUAUGAAUAAAGAAUUCGGAACUAAGUGUUUAAAAAAUGAAAUUCUAUCCCCGUCGACAGCUGUGGCGGUCAAACCGUCACUGCAGCGGUCCCGCUAUAGCGCGCAAGUGCCCACUAUAGCGGACCCGCUCUAAAACUUUCUACCACUGUGGCGGGCAUGUUUCCGCUAUAGUGCCAUCGCUACAUUGGUCGAAUGCCCGCCAUAGCGGAUACACCCAAACUCGACUGACCGCGGUGAUGAGAAGUCUAUCGCUACGGCGGUCCCGCCGCAACGGCUCAUCCCCCGCCGCAGCGGCACCUCUGAACCAGUAAGCUCGCUAAUUCUCACAGUUUUUAACUGUACCACCCAACACUUCAUUCGAGGCCUCACAAACACAAACAAAACAUGCACAUUGAUAUAAAAAUACCAUACGGACUCACCUGUGGCCUCGGAAUUCCCAACGGAGGUCUAAUUUCCUACAUCACCCCCUAAUGGACUCAACACAAUUAAACAAUAAUCACACACAAGCCAAGUUUUCAGUUCUUAGACUUAUACAUUCGAGUUUCUAUUAGCUCGUUCUACCCUUGGGAAAGUUAUAUUUGGUAGGGUGAUCCUAGAUUUUUCAUAACGACCGGGAGGGUCAUUACAUGAUCACUCGUGUACAUACAUGCUAAUUGGUGUCUUUGUCCAAUAGCUAUGACCUGCAGGGGACCAAUGACGUCCAUGUAGCCUCGCUCUGGAAUCUUACCUCCAAUCACGAGCCUUUAACUUAGGCCACAUCCUCACCCUCGUCAAAUAUGCCCAAAAUCUAGGUCACAUCCUCACCCUUUUUCAAAUGCGCACUUUCAUAUAUAUAUAUAUAUAUAUAUAUAUAUAUAGUCACAUCACUUUUAACGAGUGAUUAUCAAGUAGUAUAUCAUUUUCAUCAAGAAGAUCAUAUUAACUUCUCACCACAAUUGUCAUCAAAUUAUAGAUCACCACACAUCGAAUAAUGGCAUUUAACCCACAUUAUCACUCAAUCAAUAGGAUAUAGGAAUUCCAACCACACAUUAUGCCCGAACACUAGAUAUGCUUUCUCCUAUCAAUCUCAUAACACAUACAAUCAACUAAUCAAAGUCUAACUCAACCGUAACCUACCUUAACUGCAGAGCUGGAACAAUGCGAAUUACUCCGCUAUAGCCUUUUCCUUUCGUAAUGCCGCGGAACGCUGAAAGUCUAGCAAUUAAGAUGCUAAAUAAGUCACAACACUCUAGUCAACAAGAUCAAUUCAAUGAACACCCUCCACUUUACCCCUUUCUAAUGGGUGAAUGCUUACUAGGUAUAAAUCAUCCUAACAUUGGCCUUAUCAACCAUAAACUAUCAAUUUAUGAGGUUAUUCAUUCAAGUUAUCUCUUUCAAGCAAUUUCUAUGGUCAAGCUACCAUCUUUAUGGAACCCUAAGUCUCAAUUCACUUAGUUCAUAUCUCUAACAGUUCAAUUCUUGAUUAGAAGUGAUAACCCAAGCCUUUAGAUGAUAAUCACACAAUAAUAUUCAUAACCCACCAACCAUUAAAGGUCUAUUAAGUUCUAUGGUUACUAGUCCUCAAUUUACCAUUGUAGACCCAUUAGAAUGAUGAUAAUCUUAGAGACGAAUGCGUAAUGAAGGAAGGAAGGGUUGAGACUUACCUCUCAAGAAUAUUCUUGCCCCAGCCUUAGAAUUUCGUCCUAGGCUCUUCUUGGGAAGUGUUUUGGAGUUUUAUGAAUAAAGAAUUCGGCUAAGUGUUUUAAACACGGCUUAGUGGUUCUGUCCGCUGCAGCGGUCUCGCUAUAGCGGGCAAGGACCCGCUGUACUGGGCGUCCACUUAAUGCCCACUUUCACUGUGGCGAGCACAGACCCGCCAUAGCGCAAACGCUACAGCGGUCCCCAUUUCUGCUAAGUCCGCCGCGGCGAGAGAUCCGCCGCUACAGCGGCCCCGCCGCAGCGGUGCCACUGAACCAGUGAGCUCACUAAUUCCACCAGUUUUGUACUCUACUCUCCUAAAUUCAUUUGAGGCUUCAUAAACACAAACAAAAUAUGCACAUCAAUGUAAAAACACCAUACGGACUCACUCGUAGCCUCGGAAUCCCUAACGGAGGUCUAAUUUCCUAUGUCACCCUCCUCCCCCCCAAUGGAUUCAGUUCAACCAAACAAUGAUCAUAGACAAGUCAAGUUUACAGUUCUUAAACUUCUACAUUGAGUUUCUAUUAGAUCGUUCUACCCUUGGAAAGGUUCUAUUCGGAGUGUAAUCCUAGAUUUUCCCUAACGACCGGGAAGGUCGUUACAUGAAGUUCCUUUGGGAAAAGAACAUCACUUAGGUAAGACUCUUAACCUUAUUCUCUGAGUUUAUUCUUGAUAUGCAGAUUUUUACCUCGCUUCGUUCAUUUAUAUGUUUGGUGACUAGACAUGGACUUGUAGGAAAGAAACACGGAUUUUGAUAAAGUUAUUUCACUAGAUGCUAUUGGAGACAGAUUUUACGUUUCAACAUGCCUCAGGUAUAGUUAAAUGUACGGAAUAUCUGUUUCUAUUAGGAUAUAUGUAGGUGUUGAUGGAUGAUGUUGAUAUUCUGUCUCUUAACUCUGCUUGUAUUUGAAUAUGGUUCUCUUAUGUAUCUGAAUAGAGGUUCAAAUGGUUAGCUCCCUUACUGUAAGUCUCUCUGUUUUUAGCUUCUAAUUCAGUUCUGGUGCUUAUUGGUUAAGAUAUAGGUUGGGUUCUCUAAAUAGAUUAAUGUAAUUUUCUACAAGCCAGAGAAUACUAUUUCUGCAUACAAGUUAUCUAAGGAAAAUAUGUUGAUAUACUCUUGGAGAGUGAAAGGUUAAAAAUCUUUAAGAUAAGUUACACAUUGCAACUUCAGUCUGUACCUUAACUUUAGUAUACAUAUGCAUUUUCCAGUGACAUCUAUUGGACCAACUUGCACCUUGUGAACAGUUGAACAAAAUUGCAUACAUUUAGCAUCCACAAGUUGGAUCAACAAUUUUCCUUUUAUAGACACAACUACAAACAUUUUCUGUUGCCGCAUUCGAUACACUAUGCAGUAUCUAACCGACCAUUAUUUCUUGAUUUUGUUACCAGUGAAAGAUCCGCUACUGUUUUUCAAUAUGGUUGGCUUUUUUAAUGCACUUGAAGCUACUUUUGGUUCUACUUGUUGGGUAUUUCAAUGUAUAUCUUCACUGUUGCCCUGGAUGCGGUUGCGUCCACGUUCGCUGCAUGCUCAUGUUAGCUCAUCUGUUCAGCUGUCAUUUUUUCUAGCUUCUGUUAGAUGAUCUACUGAUAAUUGAAUUAGCAAAUGUCUAUCUUUGUGAUGAGUUCAGGUACACAAAUACUUGAUGACAACAUAUGAUUGCUUUAGUUAUGAAUGUGCUCAUUUUCUCUUAAAAAUAUGCAGACAUAUUGAAGCUCUUCCCAUUUGUUUUAGUCGUGUUAUGUUUCCUUUGACUAUUCUUAUCUUAAUAUCAUGCAUUACUCUACCGGUAAUUUCUGCCGAAUGCCGCUAAGAAGAAGGUUACAGAGCAGAGGAAAUGCAUGACAGAAAACGCUACAAAGCAGAGGGAAUGCAUGACAGAAAAUGCACGAUCGUUUCCUAGAUGUAAAAAGUAUAGCCUGCAGAUAGUUUUUGAAUGUGAUGUAAAUAAUGCAACCAUGAAUGUAGACAAUGUAGCACUUGCCAACAUAAUAUGAAUGGAUACUUCAUCUUGACUUUGUCA